rnacentral:rRNA from 1 species
AUGCAUGAGGUCUCGUCUCAUCUCUGCUUGUGUGCAGGAAGGCCAUGGAGUAGCUGCUUGGUUCAAGGGCAUGCCGUGGCUGCUCCCUAUGUAGAGCGCGUGGCCGGAGGAGCUGACCCUCCUCACGCAGCCAGGCCAGAUGCAGCGAUGGGUAUGAUUCAUGGCUGCCUACUACUGCCCUCCCUCCCUCCCUCUCCCACUCAGAUAUAUUUGAGCUGGGCUUUUUACUAUACUUCUGGUAGCUGGUUCUUUUCACCAAUUUUCAUCAGAUGCGGCCCCGGAGCUGUCGGGUUAAGCCUGUUGUUUGCCGUGUUUGGGAGUGGCGGGUUCGGGUGUGAGAGAUGGGCUUCAGGGUUUGAAGGGAUAUUACUUCUACAAAAAAUGGCCAAGGGAAGUUCAGUUCAAGCUAAGCAUACAAUUUCUGAAUUAGAUAAAGCUGCAGAUAGAAAAAAUACCACUUCUCAUGCACCAAGUGAUCCCCAGAAGGAUAGUUUCAUGGAGGUUGAUUCGCCUGUGACAGAUUACGCUCUGUACCAGUUCGGCACCAGCGGCGCCGUCGUCGCCGUCGCCACCACUGUUACGCAUCCGCUCGUUCUUCAUGUGUACAGGAAGAAUAGGAAGCAAAAAAGGGAGGUCAGGAGGACUUGUGUACACAUGAUUAGUACCUUGCUUAUGUUUGUACAGUACUAUUGGAUAUCCGAUGGAGCUUUCAUUGUUGUACUGCUUAUUCCACCCCUGGCUUUGCUUUCCCCUUUUCUGGCUGGUCUCGAUGCACUUUUCAGCCGAGGACCCAAAAGAUAUCCCGUGCCCCAUAUUUCUACACUUGUGGUUAUGCUGGUUUUAUCUUUUGAUUGGUUGUUAGCCCCCUACAAGAGUUGCCACAAUAUGAAAAGGCUCCAAAAGGUGUCACGGUCAGGAAUCUUUUUUCCAGGCAUCCAGUGA